GCCACUUUAGCUUAGUGGUAGAGCGUCUGCUUCGUCAGAGUCAGUUCAAUCCUGGCAAGCGGCU
rnacentral:tRNA from 1 species